CAUCAGAGAUUACAUUUGGUAUUUUUUGAAUACCAAUUUGAGCUUGGAAAAUGAUACCAUGUGAACUAUUUGUUCAGUCCCUGCUAAACUGUUUUUUCGCAAUGCAGUCCCUUGAAAGAUUGAGGCUUGUUUCCGUGGUUGAAAAGUCAAAACUUUUAUGCAUUGUUUGUAGACCCAGAGGAUUAUUGGAUGCCCAUGCAGCAGUUCUGCUGGAAUUCUAUUUUGGUCUGUGCUUGUCUUGGACUUUGAUUUGGUGGCGUGUGAGAAAAAUUAUGAUUCAAUUUCUGCUUCUCUGUUUUAUUCAAUUUCUGCUUCUCCUCUUUCCAUACAUAAAACCAGAACUUUUUUAUUGGGAUGGUGUUGGAUGAUUUUCAACAACUGAUUUAGACGCAAGCAAGCACUUGGGAUUUCUGUAACAAAAUUCUCCUGAUUUAUAGUUGCCUUGUCCCUGGGAUUCGAGAUUUCCUUGAAAAAAUUGAUUGUUUUGACGAUUGCGUCAUCUCAUUUUGUUUUGCACUUGUACCCUCUCUCGCUCUGAAAUUUAGAGUUGGUAAACGGGUAGCAUGGGUUUUUUGGGUCUUGUAUUUGAAAAGUGAUCUCUUGUUUUUUAAAAGUAAGAGGUUUUUUUGCGACCGGAAAACUCAUCGCCCUUGCAGUACUUUUAACUUUUCUGUGAAUUUUGUACCGGAAAGCAUCUCUUCUUUUAGAAUUGAAAGAAACUUGAAUUCGGGACAUGUUCUGAAAAAGCUCAUGAAAAAUAGAUGCGCGAACAGAGAAUGGAGGGUUUCAGUCGGUUUAAAAUAUUCUGGUUCAUCCCUGGUCUUUUGAUUGGGAAAAGCUGCUAAAUUCUAUGUGACUGUGGGAUAAGUAAACAUCUAGUGGUUUUUCCUUUUCAAAAGUGGAAGGCUGCUCUCUUGAUGCUUUUGCACUCAACUGAGAUGGUUGAACCAGUGUCUCAUCAGAGAUUACAUUUGGUAUUUUUUGAAUACCAAUUUGAGCUUGGAAAAUGAUACCAUGUGAACUAUUUGUUCAGUCCCUGCUAAACUGUUUUUUUCGCAAUGCAGUCCCUUGAAAGAUUGAGGCUUGUUUCCGUGGUUGAAAAGUCAAAACUUUUAUGCAUUGUUUGUAGACCCAGAGGAUUAUUGGAUGCCCCUGCAGCAGUUCUGCUGGAAUUCUAUUUUGGUCUGUGCUUGUCUUGGACUUUGAUUUGGUGGCGUGAGAAAAAUUAUGAUUCAAUUUCUGCUUCUCCUUUUUAUUCAAUUUCUGCUUCUCCUCUUUCCAUACAUAAAACCAGAACUUUUUUAUUGGGAUGGUGUUGGAUGAUUUUCAACAACUGAUUUAGACGCAAGCAAGCACUUGGGAUUUCUGUAACAAAAUUCUCCUGAUUUAUAGUUGCCUUGUCCCUGGGAUUGGAGAUUUCCUUGAAAAAAUUGAUUGUUUUGACGAUUGCGUCAUCUCAUUUUGUUUUGCACUUGUACCCUCUCUCGCUCUGAAAUUUAGAGUUGGGAAACGGGUAGCAUGGGUUUUUUGCGUCUUGUAUUUGAAAAGUGAUCUCUUGUUUUUUAAAAGUAAGAGGUUUUUUUGCGACCGGAAAACUCAUCGCCCUUGCAGUACUUUUAACUUUUCUGUGAAUUUUGUACCGGAAAGCAUCUCUUCUUUUAGAAUUGAAAGAAACUUGAAUUCGGGACAUGUUCUGAAAAAGCUCAUGAAAAAUAGAUGCGCGAACAGAGAAUGGAGGGUUUCAGUCGGUUUAAAAUAUUCUGGUUCAUCCCUGGUCUUUUGAUUGGGAAAAGCUGCUAAAUUCUAUGUGACUGUGGGAUAAGUAAACAUCUAGUGGUUUUUCCUUUUCAAAAGUGGAAGGCUGCUCUCUUGAUGCUUUUGCACUCAACUGAGAUGGUUGAACCAGUGUCUCAUCAGAGAUUACAUUUGGUAUUUUUUGAAUACCAAUUUGAGCUUGGAAAAUGAUACCAUGUGAACUAUUUGUUCAGUCCCUGCUAAACUGUUUUUUCGCAAUGCAGUCCCUUGAAAGAUUGAGGCUUGUUUCCGUGGUUGAAAAGUCAAAACGUUUUUGCAUUGUUUGUUGACCCAGAGGAUUAUUGGAUGCCCGCUGCAGCAGUUCUGCUGGAAUUCUAUUUUGGUCUGUGCUUGUCUUGGACUUUGAUUUGGUGGCGUGUGAGAAAAAUUAUGAUUCAAUUUCUGCUUCUCCUCUUUCCAUACAUAAAACCAGAACUUUUUUAUUGGGAUUGUGUUGGAUGAUUUUCAACAACUGAUUUAGACGCAAGCAAGCACUUGGGAUUUCUGUAACAAAAUUCUCCUGAUUUAUAGUUGCCUUGUCCCUGGGAUUCGAGAUUUCCUUGAAAAAAUUGAUUGUUUUGACGAUUGCGUCAUCUCAUUUUGUUUUGCACUUGUACCCUCUCUCGCUCUGAAUUUUAGAGUUGGUAAACGGGUAUAAUGGGUUUUUUGGGUCUUGUAUUUGAAAAGUGAUCUCUUGUUUUUUAAAAGUAAGAGGUUUUUUUGCGACCGGAAAACUCAUCGCCCUUGCAGUACUUUUAACUUUUCUGUGAAUUUUGUACCGGAAAGCAUCUCUUCUUUUAGAAUUGAAAGAAACUUGAAUUCGGGACAACAUGUUCUGAAAAAGCUCAUGAAAAAUAGAUGCGCGAACAGAGAAUGGAGGGUUUCAGUCGGUUUAAAAUAUUCUGGUUCAACCCUGGUCUUUUGAUUGGGAAAAGCUGCUAAAUUCUAUGUGACUGUGGGAUAAGUAAACAUCUAGUGGAUUUCCUUUUCAAAAGUGGAAGGCUGCUCUCUUGAUGCUUUUGCACUCAACUGAGAUGGUUGAACCAGUGUCUCAUCAGAGAUUACAUUUGGUAUUUUUUGAAUACCAAUUUGAGCUUGGAAAAUGAUACCAUGUGAACUAUUUGUUCAGUCCCUGCUAAACUGUUUUUUCGCAAUGCAGUCCCUUGAAAGAUUGAGGCUUGUUUCCGUGGUUGAAAAGUCAAAACGUUUUUGCAUUGUUUGUAGACCCAGAGGAUUAUUGGAUGCCCAUGCAGCAGUUCUGCUGGAAUUCUAUUUUGGUCUGUGCUUGUCUUGGACUUUGAUUUGGUGGCGUGUGAGAAAAAUUAUGAUUCAAUUUCUGCUUCUCCUCUUUCCAUACAUAAAACCAGAACUUUUUUAUUGGGAUUGUGUUGGAUGAUUUUCAACAACUGAUUUAGACGCAAGCAAGCACUUGGGAUUUCUGUAACAAAAUUCUCCUGAUUUAUAGUUGCCUUGUCCCUGGGAUUCGAGAUUUCCUUGAAAAAAUUGAUUGUUUUGACGAUUGCGUCAUCUCAUUUUGUUUUGCACUUGUACCCUCUCUCGCUCUGAAAUUUAGAGUUGGUAAACGGGUAGCAUGGGUUUUUUGGGUCUUGUAUUUGAAAA